rnacentral:ncRNA from 2 species
AUCUUAUCAAGAGAGGUGGAGGGAAUGGCCCUGUGAAACCCGGCAACCAGUAUUAUAUAAUACUAAGGUGCUAAUUCCUGCAGUUUAGCUGCAAGAUAAGAA